rnacentral:rRNA from 1 species
GAUCCUGGCUCAGGAUGAACGCUGGCGGCGUGCUUAACACAUGCAAGUCGAACGGAGCACCCUUGAAUGAGGUUUCGGCCAAAGGAAAGGAAUGCUUAGUGGCGGACUGGUGAGUAACGCGUGAGGAACCUGCCUUUCAGAGGGGGACAACAGCUGGAAACGGCUGCUAAUACCGCAUGACGCAUUCGGAUGGCAUCAUCUGAAUGCCAAAGAUUUAUCGCUGAAAGAUGGCCUCGCGUCUGAUUAGAUAGUUGGCGGGGUAACGGCCCACCAAGUCGACGAUCAGUAGCCGGACUGAGAGGUUGACCGGCCACAUUGGGACUGAGACACGGCCCAGACUCCUACGGGAGGCAGCAGUGGGGAAUAUUGCACAAUGGGGGAAACCCUGAUGCAGCAACGCCGCGUGAAGGAAGACGGUUUUCGGAUUGUAAACUUCUAUCAAUAGGGACGAAGAAAGUGACGGUACCUAAAUAAGAAGCCCCGGCUAACUACGUG